GCGCUCAUUUCAGCAGCACAUAUACCAAAGCAGGGAUGAUGCAGAGAGGAUUGGCAUAGCCCCUGAGAUGACACAUUUAUGAAGUAUUCCAUGUGAAA
rnacentral:snRNA from 1 species